rnacentral:rRNA from 1 species
UACGGGGGGGGCAAGCGUUGUUCGGAAUUACUGGGCGUAAAGGGCGCGUAGGCGGUUCGCUAAGUUGAAUGUGAAAACUCUGGGCUUAACCCAGAGCCUGCAUUCAAUACUGGCGGGCUAGAGUUCUGGAGGGGAUAGCGGAAUUCCUGGUGUAGCGGUGAAAUGCGUAGAUAUCAGGAGGAACACCGGUGGCGAAGGCGGCUAUCUGGACAGAGUCUGACGCUGAGGCGCGAAAGCUAGGGGGAGCAAACAGG